rnacentral:lncRNA from 1 species
UGGGUAUGCGCCACUGUGGUAAUGGACUCUGGAACAGAUGGGAUCUGCGGGAUCCUGGUCCAGCUUGGGGUAGGGUGGGGAGGGGAGGUUCUCUGAGGAAGGAAGGCCUUCUCUGAGGAUUUUAGUGUUGCAGCUCUUGUAGGUGAUACUCAAUGAAACAGCUCUCUUAGAGAAUCUUCAGUAAAAUAGCUGCUGUGCAUACACUGUAUACAAGGGCUACAUAUGAACCUUGGAGAGUGGAGAUUUCUGGGUGAAUAUAAAAGGCGAUGGCUGAAGCUUAAGUCCUGUGAAUGCCUCAUUUGUCUGGAGAUGCGUUCCGAGAAUCUCAGGUUCAUCCUUGUCGUAGCAUCCUUCCUUAAUGGAUGAGUGACCUUCUGCUGUGUGGAUCACCUCAUUGUGCCUGUCCAUUCAUCUGCUGAUAGACACUGGGUUAUUCUCACCUUUGACUUGAAUCUUGCUGCUGUGAACACUGAUGUACAAGCAGAUAUCCCAGUCCCUGCUUUCAGCUUGAGUAAACUCCUCCAGAUUUGAAUUUGCCCUUUGAAUCCUUGGUGGCAUAUGGUGGAAUUGUGGCUAGCAGUCUCUCACUAAACCUGGAGCUUGUGGAUUUUGCUAGACUGACUGACAAUCAAGCCCCUGUGUCCUUCUGCCUCUGCCUCCCCAGAGCUGAGGUUACAGGUGCAAGCCAUGAUGCCAGACUCUGUAAGUGACUGCUGAAGUUCAACUCAGAUCUUCAUGUUUGACUGUCAUCUCCCAGGCUACACUCCUUGAACUAAGUCAGGCUACAGAGGCUGCAUUUCCUAGAGACAUCUGGUCAACCUCACAUCCAUGGAGUAGAGAGCAGAGAACACUCCUUAGAGAAAAGGGACCUGAGUUCAAGUGGGUUCCAGUCUGAAUCCCAGACUGAACAGCUUUCGUAUUUUUCAAUUAGUCUGGAGCUUUUCAUACCUGUAAAUUCUGCUUCUGGAAUAGUCUUCCACCUAGUACGUCAGCUUUUCCCAAGGAGAGUGCCUUCCCCACCUGCAUACUUCCUUUUCUGAGAAGUGUCUAAUUUCUAUGUUGCAACAAAUAUGUACUCAGUGAUAAGUGGAUAUUAGCCCAGAAACUUAGGAUACCCAAGAUAUAAGAUACAACUUGCCAAACGC